CUCAAAAAUGUCUUAGAAAAUGAAUUAUUUUAUAAAAUGAAACCCAUUUAUAGUUCAUGAAAUUAGAGAUCAGCAAAUUUGGGUCAUGUUCACCUUGGGUACAGGAAAAGUAUUACACAUGUCUUACUUGCAUUUCUUUUUUUUUUUGAGAUAUGGAGUCUCACUCUGUCACCCAGGCUGGAGUACAGUGGUGCAAUCUCGGCUCACUGCAAGCUCUACCUCCUGGGUUCACGUCAUUCUCCUGCCUCAGCCUCUGGAGUAGCUGGGACUACAGGCGCCUGCCAUCACGCCCGGGAAGCAGCUCCACAACUACCACAUCUCCAUGAAUUGAGCGGUUUCGAGCCUUCAUCCCGUGGAUUAGGAUGUCACUGACUAAAUCUGUGUUUGGGGCAGCACAGAAAAAACCCAUAAAGCCAAGGGAAUGGCACACCAGUGAGGCAUUCCGCGCAUGAUAUACUCGAAGUCUAAUCAGUACUCCUGCAAGUAAAGCUUUUUCUUUU
rnacentral:lncRNA from 1 species